ACCAUCGUGCCACGUUACGAUCCAAUCGUGACACGAUCACCUCAUUAAUCCUACGUGGCAGCAGACAAAUUUUCAUAUCGUGGCACGUUCCAGACUUUAUCGUGGCACAAAAUUUCCAGUGGCAAAUUCUUUGUCCCACGUUCAACAAUCGUGCCACGAGAUGUUCUAAACGUGGCACGAUG
rnacentral:pre_miRNA from 1 species